rnacentral:rRNA from 1 species
CGUAGGGUGCGAGCGUUGUCCGGAAUUAUUGGGCGUAAAGAGCUUGUAGGCGGUUUGUCGCGUCUGCCGUGAAAACUCAGGGCUUAACUCUGGGCGUGCGGUGGGUACGGGCAGGCUAGAGUGUGGUAGGGGAGACUGGAAUUCCUGGUGUAGCGGUGAAAUGCGCAGAUAUCAGGAGGAACACCGAUGGCGAAGGCAGGUCUCUGGGCCAUAACUGACGCUGAGAAGCGAAAGCAUGGGAGCGAACAGGAUU